GGGUUGUGAGGUUAAGCGACUAAGCGUACACGGUGGAUGCCCUGGCAGUCAGAGGCGAUGAAGGGCGUGCUAAUCUGCGAUAAGCGCCGGUAAGGUGAUAUGAACCGUUAUAACCGGCGAUACCCGAAUGGGGAAACCCAGUGUGAUUCGUCACACUAUCAUUAACUGAAUCCAUAGGUUAAUGAGGCGAACCGGGGGAACUGAAACAUCUAAGUACCCCGAGGAAAAGAAAUCAACCGAGAUUCCCCCAGUAGCGGCGAGCGAACGGGGAGGAGCCCAGAGCCUGAAUCAGCAUGUGUGUUAGUGGAAGCGUCUGGAAAGGCGCGCGAUACAGGGUGACAGCCCCGUACACAAAAGCGCAUGUGCUGUGAGCUCGAUGAGUAGGGCGGGACACGUGGUAUCCUGUCUGAAUAUGGGGGGACCAUCCUCCAAGGCUAAAUACUCCUGACUGACCGAUAGUGAACCAGUACCGUGAGGGAAAGGCGAAAAGAACCCCGGCGAGGGGAGUGAAAAAGAACCUGAAACCGUGUACGUACAAGCAGUGGGAGCACAGGUUUACCUGUGUGACUGCGUACCUUUUGUAUAAUGGGUCAGCGACUUAUAUUCUGUAGCAAGGUUAACCGUAUAGGGGAGCCGCAGGGAAACCGAGUCUUAACCGGGCGUUAAGUUGCAGGGUAUAGACCCGAAACCCGGUGAUCUAGCCAUGGGCAGGUUGAAGGUUGGGUAACACUAACUGGAGGACCGAACCGACUAAUGUUGAAAAAUUAGCGGAUGACCUGUGGCU
rnacentral:rRNA from 1 species